rnacentral:tRNA from 1 species
GGCUGGAUCACCUCCUUUUGAGCAUGACAGCUACGCCUACAGGCGUCCUCACAAGUAACCUGCAUUCAGAGAGUUCCGCCACAGGGCGGAGCACCCCGAUUUCGGGGCCAUAGCUCAGCUGGGAGAGCACCUGCUUUGCAAGCAGGGGGUCGUCGGUUCGAUCCCGACUGGCUCCACCAGAUUUGCAGAUCCCUCUGCAAACGUCUGCAUUUGCGUGUGCGGACGGUCUCAGGGACCUGCAAGAGCCAAGACUUUGGGUCUGUAGCUCAGGUGGUUAGAGCGCACCCCUGAUAAGGGUGAGGUCGGUGGUUCGAGUCCUCCCAGACCCACCACUCUGAAUGUAAGAAGCACACUAAGAAUUUAAGAUGCGCCAGCACUGAGGCUGGGGUAUGUUCUUUUAAAAUUUGUGACGUAGCGAGCGUUUGAGAUCAAACUAUCUUGACGUGUCGUUGUGGCUAAGGCGGGGACCUCGAGUCCCUAGAAAUUGAGUCGUUAUAGUUCGCGUCCGGGCGUUGUACCCCCGGACUCAGCAUGACCUCGAGGCAACUUGAGGUUAUA